rnacentral:rRNA from 1 species
UACGAAGGGGGCUAGCGUUGCUCGGAAUCACUGGGCGUAAAGCGCACGUAGGCGGCUUUCUAAGUCAGGGGUGAAAUCCUGGAGCUCAACUCCAGAACUGCCUUUGAUACUGGGAAGCUCGAGUCCGGAAGAGGUGAGUGGAACUCCGAGUGUAGAGGUGAAAUUCGUAGAUAUUCGCAAGAACACCAGUGGCGAAGGCGGCUGACUGGUCCGGUUCUGACGCUGAGGCGCGAAAGCGUGGGGAGCAAACAGG